rnacentral:rRNA from 1 species
GAUGAACGCUAGCGGCAGGCUUAACACAUGCAAGUCGAGGGGUAGAAGUUGCUUGCAACUUUGAGACCGGCGCACGGGUGCGUAACGCGUAUGCAAUCUACCUUAUACAGAGGGAUAGCCCAGAGAAAUUUGGAUUAAUACCUCAUAGUAUAAUUGAAUGGCAUCAUUUAAUUAUUAAAGUUCCAACGGUAUAAGAUGAGCAUGCGUCCUAUUAGCUAGAUGGUAAGGUAACGGCUUACCAUGGCAACGAUAGGUAGGGGUCCUGAGAGGGAGGUCCCCCACACUGGUACUGAGACACGGACCAGACUCCUACGGGAGGCAGCAGUGAGGAAUAUUGGACAACGGGCGCAAGCCUGAUCCAGCCAUGCCGCGUGCAGGAAGAAGCAUCUAUGGUGUGUAAACUGCUUUUGUACGGGAAGAAACACUCCUUCGUGAAGGAGCUUGACGGUACCGUAAGAAUAAGGAUCGGCUAACUCCGUGCCAGCAGCCGCAGUAAAA